UACGUAGGGACCAAGCGUUGUCCGGAAUCAUUGGGCGUAAAGAGCGUGUAGGCGGCCUGUUAAGUCUUGCGUGAAAUCUCGGGGCUCAACCCCGAGCGGUCGUGAGAAACUGGCAGGCUAGAGUGCGGGAGAGGAGAGUGGAAUUCCUGGUGUAGCGGCGAAAUGCGCAGAUAUCAGGAAGAACACCCGUGGCGAAGGCGGCUCUCUGGAACGCAACUGACGCUGAGACGCGAAAGCGUGGGGAGCAAACAGG
rnacentral:rRNA from 1 species